GGAGUUCGCUGGUUUGUAAUGCAGUCGAGCGGAUUGAAGGGAGCUUGCUCCCUGAUAUUAGCGGCGGACGGGUGAGUAACACGUGGGCAACCUGCCCUGCAGAUGGGGAUAACUCCGGGAAACCGGGGCUAAUACCGAAUAAUCGGUUCUUCCGCAUGGAAGAACUCUGAAAGACGGUUUCGGCUGUCACUGCAGGAUGGGCCCGCGGCGCAUUAGCUAGUUGGUGGGGUAACGGCCUACCAAGGCGACGAUGCGUAGCCGACCUGAGAGGGUGAUCGGCCACACUGGGACUGAGACACGGCCCAGACUCCUACGGGAGGCAGCAGUAGGGAAUCUUCCACAAUGGACGAAAGUCUGAUGGAGCAACGCCGCGUGAGCGAAGAAGGUUUUCGGAUCGUAAAGCUCUGUUGCGAGGGAAGAACAAGUACGGGAGUAACUGCCCGUACCUUGACGGUACCUCGUCAGAAAGCCACGGCUAACUACGUGCCAGCAGCCGCGGUAAUACGUAGGUGGCAAGCGUUGUCCGGAAUUAUUGGGCGUAAAGCGCGCGCAGGCGGUCCUUUAAGUCUGAUGUGAAAGCCCACGGCUCAACCGUGGAGGGUCAUUGGAAACUGGAGGACUUGAGUACAGAAGAGGAAAGCGGAAUUCCACGUGUAGCGGUGAAAUGCGUAGAGAUGUGGAGGAACACCAGUGGCGAAGGCGGCUUUCUGGUCUGUAACUGACGCUGAGGCGCGAAAGCGUGGGGAGCAAACAGGAUUAGAUACCCUGUGUGAGUUCAA
rnacentral:rRNA from 1 species